UAGGGAAUCUUCCACAAUGGACGCAAGUCUGAUGGAGCAACGCCGCGUGAGUGAAGAAGGUUUUCGGACCGUAAAGCUCUGUUGUUGGUGAAGAAGGAUAGAGGUAGUAACUGGCCUUUAUUUGACGGUAAUCAACCAGAAAGUCACGGCUAACUACGUGCCAGCAGCCGCGGUAAUACGUAGGUGGCAAGCGUUGUCCGGAUUUAUUGGGCGUAAAGCGAGCGCAGGCGGAAGAAUAAGUCUGAUGUGAAAGCCCUCGGCUUAACCGAGGAAUUGCAUCGGAAACUGUUUUUCUUGAGUGCAGAAGAGGAGAGUAGAACUCCAUGUGUAGCGGUGGAAUGCGUAGAUAUAUGGAAGAAUACCAGUGGCGAAGGCGGCUCUCUGGUCUGCAAACUGACGCUGAGGCUCGAAAAGCAUGGGUAGCGAACAGGAUUAGAUACCCUGGUAGUCCAUGCCGUAAAACGAUGAGUGCUAAGUGUUGGGAGGCUUCCGCCUCUCAGUGCUGCAGCUAACGCAUUAAGCACUCCGCCUGGGGGAGUACGACCGCAAG
rnacentral:rRNA from 1 species